UACGUAGGGGGCGAGCGUUGUCCGGAUUCAUUGGGCGUAAAGAGCUCGUAGGCGGCUUAGCAAGUCGGGUGUAAAACCUCCAGGCUUAACCUGGAGAGGCCACCCGAUACUGCUAUGGCUAGAGUCCGGUAGGGGACCACGGAAUUCCUGGUGUAGCGGUGAAAUGCGCAGAUAUCAGGAAGAACACCCGUGGCGAAGGCGGCUCUCUGGGACGGUACUGACGCUGAGACGCGAAAGCGUGGGGAGCAAACAGG
rnacentral:rRNA from 1 species